rnacentral:tRNA from 1 species
GCUAGUGUAGCAAAAGUGAUUUUAAUGCGAAAGGCCUAAGCCCUUUUAUUAUAGGUUAAACUCCUAUUACUAGUU